UACGUAGGGUGCGAGCGUUGUCCGGAAUUACUAGGCGUAAAGAGCUCGUAGGCGGUUUGUCGCGUCGUGCUGUGAAACUGGAGGCUCAACCUCCAGCCUGCAGUGGGUACGGGCAAACUAGAGUGCGGUAGGGGAGAUUGGAAUUCCUGGUGUAGCGGUGAAAUGCGCAGAUAUCAGGAGGAACACCGGUGGCGAAGGCGGUUCUCUGGGCAUUACCUGACGCUGAGGAGCGAAAGUGUGGGGAGCGAACAGG
rnacentral:rRNA from 1 species